rnacentral:rRNA from 1 species
AACGAACGCUGGCGGCAGGCUUAACACAUGCAAGUCGAACGCGUGUAGCAAUACACGAGUGGCGCACGGGUGAGUAACGCGUGGAUAUCUGCCUUUUGGUUCGGAAUAACCCCGGGAAACUGGGGCUAAUACCGGAUGGUACCUUCGGGUUAAAGAUUUAUCGCCAAAAGAUGAGUCCGCGUCCGAUUAGCUAGUUGGUGGGGUAACGGCCCACCAAGGCGACGAUCGGUAGCUGGUCUGAGAGGACGAUCAGCCACACUGGGACUGAGACACGGCCCAGACUCCUACGGGAGGCAGCAGUGGGGAAUAUUGGACAAUGGGGGUAACCCUGAUCCAGCCAUGCCGCGUGAGUGAUGAAGGCCUCGGUUGUAAAGCUCUUUGCGGGUACGAUGAUGACGGUACCCGC